UACGUAGGGUGCGAGCGUUGUCCGGAAUUAUUGGGCGUAAAGGGCUCGUAGGCGGUUUGUCGCGUCGGGAGUGAAAACCAGGUGCUUAACACCUGGCUUGCUUUCGAUACGGGCAGACUAGAGGUAUUCAGGGGAGAACGGAAUUCCUGGUGUAGCAGUGAAAUGCGUAGAGAUCGGGAGGAACAUCAGUUGCGAAGGCGGCUCUCUGGACCAGCACUGACACUGAGGCACGAAAGCGUGGGGAGCAAACAGG
rnacentral:rRNA from 1 species